GGGCGAUUAGCUCAGUUGGUCAGAGCGCUGGUCUCACAUACCAGAGGUCGCAGGUUCGAGCCCCGCAUCGCCCA
rnacentral:tRNA from 1 species